rnacentral:rRNA from 1 species
UACGAAGGGGGCUAGCGUUGUUCGGAAUUACUGGGCGUAAAGCGCACGUAGGCGGAAUUGUAAGUCAGGGGUGAAAUCCCGGGGCUCAACCUCGGAACUGCCUUUGAUACUGCGAUUCUCGAGUUCGAUAGAGGUGGGUGGAAUUCCUGGUGUAGAGGUGAAAUUCGUAGAUAUUAGGAGGAACACCGGUGGCGAAGGCGGCCCACUGGAUCGGUACUGACGCUGAGGUGCGAAAGCGUGGGGAGCAAACAGG